GUGGGGAAUAUUGGACAAUGGGCGAAAGCCUGAUCCAGCCAUGCCGCGUGUGUGAAGAAGGUCUUCGGAUUGUAAAGCACUUUAAGUUGGGAGGAAGGGCAGUAAGUUAAUACCUUGCUGUUUUAACGUUACCGACAGAAUAAGCACCGGCUAACUUCGUGCCAGCAGCCGCGGUAAUACGAAGGGUGCAAGCGUUAAUCGGAAUUACUGGGCGUAAAGCGCGCGUAGGUGGUUUUGUAAGUUGGAGGUGAAAUCCCCGGGCUCAACCUGGGAACUGCCUCCAAAACUGCAUGACUAGAGUACGGUAGAGGGUAGUGGAAUUUCCUGUGUAGCGGUGAAAUGCGUAGAUAUAGGAAGGAACACCAGUGGCGAAGGCGACUACCUGGACUGAUACUGACACUGAGGUGCGAAAGCGUGGGGAGCAAACAGGAUUAGAAACCCUUGUAGUCC
rnacentral:rRNA from 1 species